rnacentral:rRNA from 1 species
CAGCAGCCGCGGUAACACGAAGGGUGCAAGCGUUAAUCGGAAUUACUGGGCGUAAAGCGUGCGUAGGCGGUUUGUUAAGUCUGCUGUGAAAUCCCCGGGCUCAACCUGGGAAUGGCAGUGGAUACUGGCAAGCUAGAGUGUGUCAGAGGAUGGUGGAAUUCCCGGUGUAGCGGUGAAAUGCGUAGAGAUCGGGAGGAACAUCAGUGGCGAAGGCGGCCAUCUGGGACAACACUGACGCUGAGGCACGAAAGCGUGGGGAGCAAACAGGAUUAGAUACCCCAGUAGUCCCUGUCUCUUAUAC